rnacentral:lncRNA from 1 species
ACUAGAAGGAGGCAUUGUUAUUCAAGAAACUAUAUGCAGGUGAUUCAAGGGAAGUAGACGAAGAGGCAAAGGAGUGGGAGCACAAGCUCUUGCAAAAUAGUAUGGACAAAGAGUUGCAUGAACUGAACCGCCGUCUAGAGGAAAAAGAGGUCUCUUUUGCUUGUUUACUUUUUAUGCACUGAAAUUUCUUAGGGGGUUGAGAUUUGUUCUUGUCCAUAACUACAUAGUCCUUGUAUGAAACUGUCUGAAAUGAAGCUACAUAUUUUUCAUUAAGUUUGUUCCCAAUAAUUUUUUUUUUUUUAAGAAAUCAAUAUGGGUCUCUCCCAUUGUAUAACCCAAAACCAAAAGUCUCUAAAACCAGUUUUAAUUUCACUUUUUGCUGAAAAACUAUUAAAAUAAUAAAUAAG